rnacentral:lncRNA from 1 species
GGGGAGUGUAGCUGCUACAGCCAGGGAAGAGCAAGGAGGGAGCCCUGCAGCAGGCAGGCGGCGCUACGUGGAGGCUGUGUAGUGUGGCUGCGACUAAGAGGUCACUGCGGAGUACCUACGUGGUUGUUUAGUGGAAGCGUGGUGAAACUGCUGUGUAGGCUGAAUGCAGCUGGUAACCUGGAGGUCAAACGUCACCAUUACAUCAAAGUGUUGCAAGGACUUGCCUGCAAGCAGCACCAGGGUUCACUGGAUGAACUGAUGCUUCAGGUCUUCCUGCCCACUCCACCAUUUGCCUCUCAUCUGAGCUGAAGCCAAGUCCCUGGGUCACAGUCUGGUCAAGCACAUUUGAAAGAUAUUUUAAUGCAGUUAGUGGAUUUGAGUGAACACAUUUUCUUAUUAGAAAGGGCUUCAAACUGAAGGUAACACAUUCUUAAGUGAUUUUUAACAAGACAAAUAUCAAAGUCCUCAUCAGACUGUGAAGUAACUAAGCCUUGUUUGGCUGUGCAGGUACAUAGCAUUAAAUUGCUGUUCUCUCUUUUAUAACUAAUGUAUUUUGUAACUUGGUGUUGUCUUUAUUAGUUCUUUCCUAAUUGCUAGAUAAAUUUCAUUAUAUCUGUAUUUAUGUUAAUUUUACUGAAAUUGAUACCAAGAUUUUUUUUAAAUCAAGAAAUCUACCGCUUAAAGUUCUGAAAUAGCAAGAUUUAAUGUUAAGCUUAAAAAAUCAUAACUGUAAAUUAAAAUGGCUUUUGUCUCUGUCACCCUCUGAAGUCCCGAGUCCUGUUCUCGCUGAGUCACAGAUAAUAUUUGCAAGACUGGACAGGUUUAAAUAAGUUGGGACAUUAUUGCCCAGAGGACUGGGAAGGAAGAAAGUCUGAGUAGCGUAUUUGUGUGGGAGUGAUGAAUUGAUUAGAUAAGGCUUUAGGCUUUGUUGAUGGAGUUACCCAAAAGCACAGCCAAAGAAUAAAGCAGCUAGUUGAUUUUUCUCUCUCUUAUUC